UGCUUCUUAAGUAUUAUGAGAUUUUGUUGAAUUUGACAUUUUUCUGGCUAACAAUUUUUGCUGAAGAUAAAUUGUUAAACUUUUGCUUCAACUCCUCUUACCAGGAUCAGAGAUUGAAUGCUAUUCCUUUUCGGAAAAUGUUUGUACAAACGGAAAUUGAAUGUAUUGUAAAAUGCGUGAAGGAGCCAUGUUGUCGGUCCAUCAACUUCAGGAAAAAGUUCAGCCAAAGCCAUAAGAGUCAGUGCGAAAUGUUGCAUGGUGUUCAUAGUGACUUACAUGGAAAAA